CAGAGGUCUCCACCACCAGGUCCUGCUCUCUCGACAUCAGAGCUUCUGGGCUUCAGGAAGAAUCCAACAAACUGGCGAUGGGGCCUCCAACUUCUGGGGGCCUCUCCUGGCCUUCAUAUUUCAGGGAAAUUUCCAGAGAGCUGGCUAGAGGUGGCUGUUGACAUUCCCACCAGCAGAACCACGGAGCCAGCUUUCCUAGCAGCCACAUGAACUGGCAAGAUGGAGAGAUGCUCUCAUGGCCUAAGGAAACAUCUGCGAGUCCUCAGGGAGAUAUUUCACAUAAAUGAAAUCAUCUGAGGCCUUCUGCGUCUGACUUCUUUCACUUCCCGUAGUAUUUUCAAGGCUCAUCCGUGCUGUAACAUGUGUCAGAACUUCAUUCCUUUUAAUGGUUGAAUGAGAUACGGUCAGCCACAGGACUUCCCUGGUGGCGCAGUGGUUAAGGAUCCACUUGCCAACGCAGGGGACAUGGAUUCCAUCCCUGGUCCAAAAAGAUCCCACAUGCUGCGGAGCAACUAAGCCCAUGCGCCACAACUACUGAGCCUGCACUUUAGAGCCCGUGAGCCACAAUGACUGAGCCUGAGUGCUGCAACUACUGAAGCCUGUGUGCCUAGAGCCCAUGCUCUGCAACAAGAGAAGCCACUGCAAUGAGAAGCCCACGCACCACAUCAGAGUAGCCCCUGCUUGAAGCAACUAGAGAAAGCCUGUGCGCAUCAACAAAGAUCCAACACAACCAAAAUAAAUAAAGUAAAUAAAAUAAAAAUAAUAAAUUAAAAAGAAACCAAACAGGUCAGCCAGGCUGGGUUGGUGAGGUGACUCUGCUGUGGACAGGUAGGAGGUUCCCUGUUGCUCUGCCAUCCCCUGGGGGGGGUCAUCAUUUGCUUAAUCAAAGCUGGGUUGCUACUCCUGGGAAAGAGGAAGGAGCCAACCUCUCAAAUAAGGAGCUGGAGAUGACUCAGAAAAUGUGCACAUCACUUCCUUUUAUAUCCUACUAGUCCAAAAUUAAUCAUGGCCACAUCCAGCUGCGAGGCUCAGAAAUGGAGUCUCAACUCUGCCCAGAAGAGGGAGAGGAGGGAUUUGGGGGAACAACUAGUGAUCAGCUACAGAGAUUCCUUUUAAUUAAAAAAAAUUUAUAACAAUAGAAUUAUAUCACAUCACACAACUGCUGACAUUUCUCUAUGGUUCCUUCCACAGUUGGUAUGUACUUGUCUUCUUACAAAGUUGUAAAAAUAGUGCCUGUGCAAUUUUACAUUCUGCCAGAAUAAAACAACAUGAUAAAAUAAAUGAUAUAGUAUUUUUCAUCUGCGAUAUUAGCAAAGAUUUUUUAAAACCAUGGUAGCCAACAAUGGGGAAACAAUGGAGAAAUAGCUACUCUCAAAUGUUACUAGUGAGGAUAUAAAUUUGUGCAACUUUUCUGGAGGGCAGUUUGGUGAUAACAGCUCAAAGCCUUUACAAAUUUAAGGGGGGAAAGUCAGAGGUGUGGAAACAGAUAUUUAUAAAAGUCUAGCCACCAAAGCCUUAUUUAUAAUGCUAAAAAACUGAACCAGUCUAAAUAACCAACAACAGGAAAUUGUUUAAGUGAAUUAUGACCUAUCCAUCCAUACGGUAGACUACUACACAGCCAUUAGAAUCGUGCUCUUGGUAAGUCAGAAAGAGAAAGGCAAUACCACAUAAUAUCAUUUAUAUGUGGAAUCUAAAAUAUGGCACAAAUGAACCUAUCUAUGAGAGAGAAACAGACUCACAGACAUAGAGAACAGACUUGUGCUUA